rnacentral:rRNA from 1 species
GACGGUGUYCCACCCAUACGAGAGGAGCCUGUCCUAUAAUCGACACCCCACGCUAUACCUUACCCCCCCUAGCCAACCAACCUAUAUACCGCCGUCGCCAGCUCACACUGUGAAUGCACCACCGUAAGCACAAUCAUCACCCAUUAAAACGACAGGUCAAGGUGUAGUUAAUGGGGGGGCAGCGAUGGGCUACAUUUUCUUCACUAGAAAAUACCACCCGCACCAUGAAACCUUUGCCCACAGGUGGAUUUAGAAGUAAGCCCUGACAAGACAUGUCAACCUGAAAUACGCCCUGGGACG